rnacentral:rRNA from 1 species
GCUUGUCUCAAAGAUUAAGCCAUGCAUGUCUAAGUAUAAGCCUUUACACGGUGAGACUGCGAAUGGCUCAUUAAAUCAGAAACUGUUUAUUUGAUAGUGCCUACUACUUGGAUAACCGUAGUAAUUCUAGAGCUAAUACAUGCGUAAAUACCCAACUGCUUGUCGGACGGGUAGCAUUUAUUAGAUUGAAACCAAUGCAGCUUCGGCUGGUAUUGUGUUGAGUCAUAAUAACUGUGCGGAUCGCUUUUUAAGCGAUAAAUCGAUUGAGUUUCUGCCCUAUCAGCUUUGGAUGGUAGGAUAUGGGCCUACCAUGGCGUUAACGGGUAACGGGGAAUUAGGGUUUGAUUCCGGAGAGGGAGCCUUAGAAACGGCUACCACAUCCAAGGAAGGCAGCAGG